rnacentral:rRNA from 1 species
UUCAAGAGUACGUGAAACCGUCCAGGGGUAAACCUGCGAAACUCGAAUGAACGAACGGGGAGAUUCAUCGUCACUCACCGGCGCACCGGCUGCGGUUCGAUGGUCGCGGUCCAGGCCGCGGUCACUGCCGGAGUCGCGUCGCGUCCGGGGACGGCGUGCACUUCUCUCUCAGUAAUACAUCGCGACCCGUUCGAUGUCGGCCUGAGCGUCCCCCGGGAGUCCGGUCGCCGCGUUCGCGCGCGGCGUUCGGACCGGCGGGCACCGCCGGCCGGCCGUCGGACGGUAUUGAACACUGUGCGCUCACGCACCCCAGCGUGCGUCCGGCCCGACGCAAGGCAACGUCGUAUCCCCCGUCCUGCCCGAGCGCGGACGGGGGUGCGGCGCGCCUGUCGUCGCAGCCGUGCUGUCUCGGACCGUGAGCGUAUCCGUCUGCGAUGAUUCAGUUUCGGGCACUCGCAGGACCCGUCU